ACACCGUUGGUGAAGUGGUUAUCAUGCUUGCCUUCCAUAUCGAUUGUACGUGCAAGCGGUAGCAAGCGGCUCGGGUUCGAUUCCCGAACGGUGUA